CAGACAGGGAAACUGCGUACGGCUCAUUACACCAGCCUUAAUUUACUUGACCUUGACAACCUACUUGGAUAACUGUGGUAAUUCUAGAGCUAAUACAUGCACCAAAGCUCCGAUCCUCGCGGAGAGGAGCGCAUUUGUUCGCCACAAAACCAAGCGCCCAUCUGGGCGUCCAGUGCUGAACCAGAACAACUCAGCUGAUCGCACGGUCUUGUACCGGCGACGUGUCUUUCAAGUGUCUGCCUUAUCAACUUUCGAUGGUAGUGUACCUGACUACCAUGGUUGUGACGGGUAACGGAGGAUAAGGGUUCGACUCCGGAGAAGGGGCCUGAGAAAUGGCCACUACGUCUAAGGAUGGCAGCAGGCGCGCAAAUUACCCACUCUCAACGCGAGGAGGUAGUGACGAGAAAUAACGAGACCGUUCUCAUACGAGGCCGGUUAUUGGAAUGGGUACAAUUU
rnacentral:rRNA from 1 species